rnacentral:rRNA from 1 species
AUACGUAGGUGGCAAGCGUUGUCCGGAUUUACUGGGUGUAAAGGGCGUGUAGGCGGGGAUUUAAGUCAGAUGUGAAAGACCCGGGCUUAACUUGGGCAUUGCAUUUGAAACUGGAUUUCUUGAGGACAGGAGAGGAAAGCGGAAUUCCUAGUGUAGCGGUGAAAUGCGUAGAUAUUAGGAAGAACACCGGUGGCGAAGGCGACUUGCGGGACGAAGACGGACGCUGAGGCGCGAAAGCGUGGGGAGCAAACAGGAUUAGAUCCCCUGGUAGUCCACGCUGUAAACGAUGGGUACUAGGUGUAGGAGGUAUCGACCCCUUCUGUGCCGGAGUUAACGCAAUAAGUACCCCGCCUGGGGACUACGGUCGCAAGACUAAAACUCAAAUGAACUGACGGGG